AAAUUUCAGAAAUAAAAAAAUAACAAGUGGAAAUUUUAACGGUGCGUGUGUUACAUAAUAAGGCACAAAAAGAAAAUGACUUCCCCAGACACAACA